rnacentral:rRNA from 1 species
AACGAACGCUGGCGGCAGGCCUAACACAUGCAAGUCGAACGCUCCGCAAGGGGAGUGGCGCACGGGUGAGUAACGCGUGGGAAUCUACCUAUUAGUAAGGAAUAACAGUUGGAAACGACUGCUAAUACCUUAUACGCCCUACGGGGGAAAGAUUUAUCGCUAAUAGAUGAGCCCGCGUAAGAUUAGCUAGUUGGUGAGGUAAUGGCUCACCAAGGCUACGAUCUUUAGCUGGUCUGAGAGGAUGAUCAGCCACACUGGAACUGAGACACGGUCCAGACUCCUACGGGAGGCAGCAGUGGGGAAUAUUGGACAAUGGGCGAAAGCCUGAUCCAGCCAUGCCGCGUGAAUGAUGAAGGCCUUAGGGUUGUAAAGUUCUUUCGCCGCCGAGGAUAAUGACGGUAAGCGGAUAAGAAGCCCCGGCUAACUUCGUGCCAGCAGCCGCCGCAG